rnacentral:rRNA from 1 species
AGGCCUAACACAUGCAAGUCGAGCGAAGACUUCGGUCUUAGCGGCGGACGGGUGAGUAACGCGUGGGAACGUGCCCUUCACUACGGAACAGUCCCGGGAAACUGGGUUUAAUACCGUAUACGCCCUUCGGGGGAAAGAUUUAUCGGUGAAGGAUCGGCCCGCGUCUGAUUAGAUAGUUGGUGGGGUAACGGCCUACCAAGUCGACGAUCAGUAGCUGGUUUUAGAGGAUGAUCAGCCACACUGGGACUGAGACACGGCCCAGACUCCUACGGGAGGCAGCAGUGGGGAAUCUUAGACAAUGGGCGCAAGCCUGAUCUAGCCAUGCCGCGUGAGUGAUGAAGGCCUUAGGGUCGUAAAGCUCUUUCGCCAGGGAUGAUAAUGGCAGUACCUGGUAAAGAAACCCCGG